GCCUGGGCGACAGAGUAAGAUCCUGUCUCAGAGAGAGAGAGAGAGAGAUUGAGAAGAGAGAAGUGCAAGAUCACACUUCUGCAGCUCUUUUUUUCUCCUUCUGGCACAUUUUUCAUUUUUAAGACCCCACGUCCUCCAUAUAUGCUUUCCUGGCCCACCCAUUUCCCUCCUCCCCUUACACAGAUGGAGAACUUCCUUUCUGGUGUUCUCUCAGCACUCAGCACAGAUUGCUAGUGCUUUUAUGUGCUGAGCCUUUCCCUUCAACCUGGACUGAAAGAGGAUGGCAAUCUCGCUGAAGCUGUUUCUUUUUCUUCACAACAUAUAGGAAAGUGUUGCCCCUUUUUGGAGGGGCCAUAAAGAAAAUUGAUGAGGACAACUGGCCUCCCAGUAUGUGGAUUCAGUUUCCAUAUGUCAAUUUACCAACUCCCACUGGUAGUCUGAAGAGAUAUGGCUACUGGAGAACAGAAAAUCACCAGUAUUAAUAAAAGCAAUUUUAAGUGUUUACCUUUUAGUAUUUGAAUAGCUUUGUUAAAGAGACGUACUCAAGAAUACUAUGAAGAGACUCUUAUUGUACUCCUUACCUGGAGAUAAUUGUGAUGCCAGAAAUUCAAAUUUAUAUUCAACAAUAUGGUUUUUCAACCAUCAAUAUUAUAAACAUCUAGGCAGUGUCUAUUGUUUGCGCAUUUGCCAUCCUCUAAAAUGAGAUUAUUCUAAGCAUAAAUUAUACUUCAUCAUUCAAGAUUAUAAACAUUUAUAAUAAUCAUAAUAUUCACAGACAUUUCCCUGCUCUCAAAUCACUAGAGCUAAUAGGCAAAGUAGAUACAGCUACAAACAGUGGGAGAAAAUAUUUCUGGCUGACCUACAAAUAGCUGUGCAAUAAUGUAGAGAGGAAAAUAUAGUCUCACUUACAGUGUCUGAAAUUGAGUUUCCCUCUUUAAAGGACAAAGUAAUUUUCAAAAAUAUUUGAGUAUUAUUCUGUGUAAAAAAUCUCUGUUUUAACUGGCUUAUUGAAUUGUAUUUCUUUAUUGUGUUUGUAUUCACUUUUCCAUUUGUGGGUGGAAUUUAUUAUAAUUACCAGUUUUAUACUGAAUGAAACAAAAAUCUCAUAGAUUUAAUAAAACUUUAAAUUCCUUGUCAUUAAUAAUAAAAUGUAUAUGCUUUCUCUAAUAAGUCCAUACUUUAUUGUUUAAAACCUGUUUUUCCUCUUUCUCAAGCACAUGGAUUGUUAAUUUAAAUUCUGAAAUAAAGCCAAUUAAUCCAUAAACAUGGACUGUGGAUAAUGUCGAUAUUACAUGUAAAUUUCUCAGUGUGUGUUUCGUGGACCCAAUAGCAUCAGCAUUAGCUGGGGACUUACGAGGUGGCCUGUGCCUGUAGUCCCAGCUACUCAGGAGGCUGAGGCAGGAGAAUCGCU
rnacentral:lncRNA from 1 species